rnacentral:rRNA from 1 species
AUUGAACGCUGGCGGCAUGCUUUACACAUGCAAGUCGAACGGUAACAGGCCGCAAGGUGCUGACGAGUGGCGAACGGGUGGGUAAUGCAUCGGAACGUGCCCAGUCGUGGGGGAUAACUGCUCGAAAGAGCAGCUAAUACCGCAUACGAUCUAUGGAUGAAAGCGGGGGACCGUAAGGCCUCGCGCGAUUGGAGCGGCCGAUGUCAGAUUAGGUAGUUGGUGGGGUAAAGGCUCACCAAGCCAACGAUCUGUAGCUGGUCUGAGAGGACGACCAGCCACACUGGGACUGAGACGCGGCCCAGACUCCUACGGGAGGCAGCAGUGGGGAAUUUUGGACAAUGGGGGCAACCCUGAUCCAGCAAUGCCGCGUGCAGGAAGAAGGCCUUCGGGUUGUAAACUGCUUUUGUACGGAACGAAACGGUCUGGGUUAAUACCCUGGGCUAAUGACGGUACCGUAAGAAUAAGCACCGGCUAACUACGUGCCAGCCGCCGCCGUAACAC